GUGAAUACGUUCCCGGGCCUUGUACACACCGCCCGUCACACCACGAGAGUUUGUAACACCCGAAGUCGGUGAGGUAACCUUUUGGAGCCAGCCGCCUAAGGUGGGAUAGAUGAUUGGGGUGAAGUCGUAACAAGGUAGCCGUAUCGGAAGGUGCGGCUGGAUCACCUCCUUUCUAAGGAA
rnacentral:rRNA from 1 species